rnacentral:snoRNA from 1 species
UUGCAGUGAUGAUACUGUACAAUGUGGUUUCACUUCACUGGCAGUUGAAUGAUGACAUUUCCUUGGCUGUGUCUGAGCAC